rnacentral:rRNA from 1 species
AGAACGAACGCUGGCGGCGUGGAUAAGACAUGCAAGUCGAACGGGAUUUGUUUUGUAGCAAUACAAAGCAAGUCCAGUGGCGUAAGGGUGCGUAACACGUGGGGAAUCUGCCGAGAAGUGGGGGAUAGCUCGCCGAAAGGCGAAUUAAUACCGCAUGUGGUUAGUGGAGACAUCUUCACGAUACCAAAGCCGGGGCAACCUGGCGCUUCUUGAUGACCCCGCGGCCUAUCAGCUAGUUGGUGAGGUAACGGCUCACCAAGGCUAUGACGGGUAGCUGGUCUGAGAGGACGACCAGCCACACUGGAACUGAGACACGGUCCAGACACCUACGGGUGGCAGCAGUCGAGAAAUUUUCUCAAUGGGGGAAACCCUGAAAGGAGCGACGCCGCGUGGAGGAUGAAGGUCUUCGGAUUGUAAACUCCUGUCAUUUGGAACAAGUUGCAUUGGUUAACUGCCGAUGCAUUGAUAGUACAGAAGAGGAAAGAGACGGCUAACU